UUCGCAAUGCCCGAAAGGGUGACGAAGCGACGCCGCGUGUGGGAAGAAGGUCUUCGGGUUGUAAACCGCUGUCGGGAGUUAGGAAAUGCAAGGAUGUUAAUAGCGUCUUUGCUUGACUAAGGCUCCGGAGGAAGCCACGGCUAACUCUGUGCCAGCAGCCGCGGUAAUACAGAGGCGGCAAGCGUUGUUCGGAAUUAUUGGGCGUAAAGAGCACGUAGGCGGCUAUGCAAGUCGGUUGUGAAAGCCUUCCGCUCAACGGGAGAACAGCAUCCGAUACUGCAAGGCUAGAGUGCGGAAGGGGAGAGUGGAACUUCUGGUGGAGCGGUGAAAUGCGUAGAUAUCAGAAGGAACACCGGCGGCGAAGGCGACUCUCUGGUCCGUAACUGACGCUGAGUGUGCGAAAGCUAGGGGAGCAAACGGGAUUAGAUACCCCGGUAGUCCUAGCCGUAAACGAUGGGCACUAAGUAGAGGGGUUUU
rnacentral:rRNA from 1 species